rnacentral:rRNA from 1 species
GAUGAACGCUGGCGGCGUGCCUAAUACAUGCAAGUCGAGCGAACAGAUUAGGAGCUUGCUCCUCUGACGUUAGCGGCGGACGGGUGAGUAACACGUGGAUAACCUACCUAUAAGACUGGGAUAACUUCGGGAAACCGGAGCUAAUACCGGAUAAUAUAUUGAACCGCAUGGUUCAAUAGUGAAAGACGGUUUUGCUGUCACUUAUAGAUGGAUCCGCGCCGCAUUAGCUAGUUGGUAAGGUAACGGCUUACCAAGGCGACGAUGCGUAGCCGACCUGAGAGGGUGAUCAGCCACCAUGGAACUGAGAAAAGGUACAAACUGCUACGGGAGGCAGAAGAAGGGGAUCUUCAGGAAAGGGCGGAAGCCGGACGGAGCAACGCCGCGUGAGUGAUGAAGGUAUUAGGAUAGUAAAACUCUGUUAUUAGGGAAGAACAAAUGUGUAAGUAACUAUGCACGUCUUGACGGUACCUAAUCAGAAAGCCACGGCUAACUACGUG